rnacentral:rRNA from 1 species
GACAGAGGGUGCAAACGUUGUUCGGAAUUACUGGGCGUAAAGCGCGUGUAGGCUGCCUUGCAAGUCGGGUGUGAAAGCCCUGGGCUCAACCUAGGAAGUGCACUCGAAACUGCAAGGCUGGAGCCUGGAGAGGAAGGCGGAAUUCUCGGUGUAGAGGUGAAAUUCGUAGAUAUCGAGAGGAACACCGGUGGCGAAGGCGGCCUUCUGGACAGUGACUGACGCUGAGACGCGAAAGCGUGGGGAGCAACAGG